UACCUGGAGGACUAGUGGUUAGGCCUUGGCGAUCUCACUGCCGUGGCCCGGGUUCGAUUCCCGGCCAGGGAA
rnacentral:tRNA from 1 species